AACUGUUUAUUUAUGUUCUACUCCUUCCAUUUUUACUGCAUCUACCAUUUGAUCAACAUGAAAUCAACUCUGACUCUGCUGUGUCUGGUGGUAUGGGUGAAUGUGGAUGCUUCAUCAGCUCAGACUGAGUACUGUGGUAAGCCUGAGGGUGAAGGGAGGAGAAUGCUGCCGAUUUCUGAUCGAGAACGUUAUGAAAAUGGGGACCAAGUGGAGUAUGGAUGUCUUGCAACUUG